rnacentral:rRNA from 1 species
UACGAAGGGGGCUAGCGUUGCUCGGAAUUACUGGGCGUAAAGCGCACGUAGGCGGCUUUCUAAGUCGGGGGUGAAAUCCUGGAGCUCAACUCCAGAACUGCCUUCGAUACUGGAGAGCUCGAGUCCGGGAGAGGUGAGUGGAACUCCGAGUGUAGAGGUGAAAUUCGUAGAUAUUCGGAAGAACACCAGUGGCGAAGGCGACUCACUGGCCCGAUACUGACGCUGAGGCGCGAAAGCGUGGGGAGCAAACAGG